UUAAGCGACUAAGCGUACACGGUGGAUGCCCUGGCAGUCAGAGGCGAUGAAGGACGUGCUAAUCUGCGAAAAGCGUCGGUAAGGUGAUAUGAACCGUUAUAGCCGGCGAUGUCCGAAUGGGGAAACCCAGUGUGAUUCGUCACACUAUCGUUAACUGAAUACAUAGGUUAACGAGGCGAACCGGGGGAACUGAAACAUCUAAGUACCCCGAGGAAAAGAAAUCAACCGAGAUUCCCCCAGUAGCGGCGAGCGAACGGGGAGCAGCCCAGAGUCUGAAUCAGCUUGUGUGUUAGUGGAACGGUCUGGAAAGUCCGACGGUACAGGGUGAUAGUCCCGUACACCAAAAUGCACAGGCUGUGAACUCGAAGAGUAGGGCGGGACACGUGGUAUCCUGUCUGAAUAUGGGGGGACCAUCCUCCAAGGCUAAAUACUCCUGACUGACCGAUAGUGAACCAGUACCGUGAGGGAAAGGCGAAAAGAACCCCGGCGAGGGGAGUGAAAAAGAACCUGAAACCGUGUACGUACAAGCAGUGGGAGCACCUUCGGGUGUGACUGCGUACCUUUUGUAUAAUGGGUCAGCGACUUAUAUUCUGUAGCAAGGUUAACCGUAUAGGGGAGCCGCAGGGAAACCGAGUCUUAACUGGGCGUUAAGUUGCAGGGUAUAGACCCGAAACCCGGUGAUCUAGCCAUGGGCAGGUUGAAGGUUGGGUAACACUAACUGGAGGACCGAACCGACUAAUGUUGAAAAAUUAGCGGAUGACUUGUGGCUGGGGGUGAAAGGCCAAUCAAACCGGGAGAUAGCUGGUUCUCCCCGAAAGCUAUUUAGGUAGCGCCUCGUGAACUCAUCUUCGGGGGUAGAGCACUGUUUCGGCUAGGGGGUCAUCCCGACUUACCAACCCGAUGCAAACUACGAAUACCGAAGAAUGUUAUCACGGGAGACACACGGCGGGUGCUAACGUCCGUCGUGAAGAGGGAAACAACCCAGACCGCCAGCUAAGGUCCCAAAGUCAUGGUUAAGUGGGAAACGAUGUGGGAAGGCACAGACAGCCAGGAUGUUGGCUUAGAAGCAGCCAUCAUUUAAAGAAAGCGUAAUAGCUCACUGGUCGAGUCGGCCUGCGCGGAAGAUGUAACGGGGCUAAACCAUGCACCGAAGCUGCGGCAGCGACACUAUGUGUUGUUGGGUAGGGGAGCGUUCUGUAAGCCUGCGAAGGUGUGCUGUGAGGCAUGCUGGAGGUAUCAGAAGUGCGAAUGCUGACAUAAGUAACGAUAAAGCGGGUGAAAAGCCCGCUCGCCGGAAGACCAAGGGUUCCUGUCCAACGUUAAUCGGGGCAGGGUGAGUCGACCCCUAAGGCGAGGCCGAAAGGCGUAGUCGAUGGGAAACAGGUUAAUAUUCCUGUACUUGGUGUUACUGCGAAGGGGGGACGGAGAAGGCUAUGUUAGCCGGGCGACGGUUGUCCCGGUUUAAGCAUGUAGGCUGGUUAUCCAGGCAAAUCCGGAUAAUCAAGGCUGAGGUGUGAUGACGAGGCACUACGGUGCUGAAGUAACAAAUGCCCUGCUUCCAGGAAAAGCCUCUAAGCAUCAGGUAACAUCAAAUCGUACCCCAAACCGACACAGGUGGUCAGGUAGAGAAUACCAAGGCGCUUGAGAGAACUCGGGUGAAGGAACUAGGCAAAAUGGUGCCGUAACUUCGGGAGAAGGCACGCUGGUGUGUAGGUGAAGUCCCUGCGGAUGGAGCUGAGACCAGUCGAAGAUACCAGCUGGCUGCAACUGUUUAUUAAAAACACAGCACUGUGCAAACACGAAAGUGGACGUAUACGGUGUGACGCCUGCCCGGUGCCGGAAGGUUAAUUGAUGGGGUUAUCCGUAAGGAGAAGCUCUUGAUCGAAGCCCCGGUAAACGGCGGCCGUAACUAUAACGGUCCUAAGGUAGCGAAAUUCCUUGUCGGGUAAGUUCCGACCUGCACGAAUGGCGUAAUGAUGGCCAGGCUGUCUCCACCCGAGACUCAGUGAAAUUGAACUCGCUGUGAAGAUGCAGUGUACCCGCGGCAAGACGGAAAGACCCCGUGAACCUUUACUAUAGCUUGACACUGAACAUUGAGCCUUGAUGUGUAGGAUAGGUGGGAGGCUUUGAAGCGUGGACGCCAGUCUGCGUGGAGCCAACCUUGAAAUACCACCCUUUAAUGUUUGAUGUUCUAACGUUGGCCCCUUACCGGGGUUGCGGACAGUGUCUGGUGGGUAGUUUGACUGGGGCGGUCUCCUCCCAAAGCGUAACGGAGGAGCACGAAGGUUAGCUAAUCCUGGUCGGACAUCAGGAGGUUAGUGCAAUGGCAUAAGCUAGCUUGACUGCGAGCGUGACGGCGCGAGCAGGUGCGAAAGCAGGUCAUAGUGAUCCGGUGGUUCUGAAUGGAAGGGCCAUCGCUCAACGGAUAAAAGGUACUCCGGGGAUAACAGGCUGAUACCGCCCAAGAGUUCAUAUCGACGGCGGUGUUUGGCACCUCGAUGUCGGCUCAUCACAUCCUGGGGCUGAAGUAGGUCCCAAGGGUAUGGCUGUUCGCCAUUUAAAGUGGUACGCGAGCUGGGUUUAGAACGUCGUGAGACAGUUCGGUCCCUAUCUGCCGUGGGCGCUGGAGAAUUGAGGGGGGCUGCUCCUAGUACGAGAGGACCGGAGUGGACGCAUCACUGGUGUUCGGGUUGUCAUGCCAAUGGCACUGCCCGGUAGCUAAAUGCGGAAGAGAUAAGUGCUGAAAGCAUCUAAGCACGAAACUUGCCCCGAGAUGAGUUCUCCCUGAGACUUUAAGUCUCCUGAAGGAACGUUGAAGACGACGACGUUGAUAGGCCGGGUGUGUAAGCGCAGCGAUGCGUUGAGCUAACCGGUACUAAUGAACCGUGAGGCUUAACCUU
rnacentral:rRNA from 1 species